ACUGUUUUUAUGUGAAAAUUACGUUAGAAUCAUGUUCGCUACAUUCUCUACUGGUUUUUGUAAGAUCUGCUCUUGUUAAUUUCCUUGUAAGAUUUGUAACAUUUUUUAAUUUUUUUAAUUUUAUUGAGGUAAUUAUCAUGGCAACAGGAACAGUUAAGUGGUUUAACGAAUCAAAAGGCUUCGGCUUUAUCACUCCAGAAGAUGGCAGUAAAGAUGUAUUCGUACAUUUCUCAGCUAUCGCAAGCGAAGGUUUCCGUACGUUAAACGAAGGUCAACAAGUAAGCUUCGACGUAGAGAAUGGUCCUAAAGGACCACAAGCUGUCAACGUUACAGCUUAAGCUUCUAUUUGCAUGAAAAAGCCUCGCUUCAAGCGGG
rfam:Cycloclasticus sp. Phe_18 scaffold_1233, whole genome shotgun sequence.